UACGUAGGGUGCAAGCGUUAAUCGGAAUUACUGGGCGUAAAGCGUGCGCAGGCGGUUGUGCAAGACAGAUGUGAAAUCCCCGGGCUUAACCUGGGAAUUGCAUUUGUGACUGCACGGCUAGAGUGUGUCAGAGGGGGGUAGAAUUCCACGUGUAGCAGUGAAAUGCGUAGAUAUGUGGAGGAAUACCGAUGGCGAAGGCAGCCCCCUGGGCCUGCACUGACGCUCAUGCACGAAAGCGUGGGGAGCAAACAGG
rnacentral:rRNA from 1 species